UACAGAGGGUGCAAGCGUUAAUCGGAUUUACUGGGCGUAAAGCGUGCGUAGGCGGUUCGCUAAGUCGGUUGUGAAAUCCCUGGGCUUAACCUGGGAACUGCAGUCGAUACUGGCGGACUAGAGUACGGUAGAGGGUGGCGGAACUCCGGGUGUAGCGGUGAAAUGCGUAGAUAUCCGGAAGAACACCGAUGGCGAAGGCAACCACCUGGGCCUGUACUGACGCUGAGGUACGAAAGCUAGGGGAGCGAACGGG
rnacentral:rRNA from 1 species